CGCAUGGUGGCCUAAUGGUUAAGCAUGCUGGACUCUGGAUCGGGCGGUCCAGGUUCGAGCGCUGGCCAGGGUCAUUGUGU